AUUGAACGCUGGCGGCAGGCCUAACACAUGCAAGUCGAGCGGCAGCGACUUAACUGAACCUUCGGGGAACGUUAAGGGCGGCGAGCGGCGGACGGGUGAGUAAUGCCUGGGAAUAUACCCUGAUGUGGGGGAUAACUAUUGGAAACGAUAGCUAAUACCGCAUAAUCUCUUCGGAGCAAAGAGGGGGACCUUCGGGCCUCUCGCGUCAGGAUUAGCCCAGGUGGGAUUAGCUUGUUGGUGAGGUAAUGGCUCACCAAGGCGACGAUCCCUAGCUGGUCUGAGAGGAUGAUCAGCCACACUGGAACUGAGACACGGUCCAGACUCCUACGGGAGGCAGCAGUGGGGAAUAUUGCACAAUGGGGGAAACCCUGAUGCAGCCAUGCCGCGUGUGUGAAGAAGGCCUUCGGGUUGUAAAGCACUUUCAGUAGGGAGGAAGGUGGUGUAGUUAACACCUGCAUUAUUUGACGUUACCUACAGAAGAAGCACCGGCUAACUCCGUGCCAGCAGCCGCGGUAAUACGGAGGGUGCGAGCGUUAAUCGGAAUUACUGGGCGUAAAGCGCAUGCAGGCGGCCUGUUAAGUCAGAUGUGAAAGCCCGGGGCUUAACCUCGGAAUUGCAUUUGAAACUGGCAGGCUAGAGUCUUGUAGAGGGGGGUAGAAUUUCAGGUGUAGCGGUGAAAUGCGUAGAGAUCUGAAGGAAUACCAGUGGCGAGCGGCCCCCUGGACAAAGACUGACGCUCAGAUGCGAAAGCGUGGGGAGCAAACAGG
rnacentral:rRNA from 1 species